GAGAUGGGCUUGCGGCCUAUCAGCUAGUUGGUGGGGUAAUGGCCUACCAAGGCGACGACGGGUAGCUGGUCUGAGAGGAUGGUCAGCCGGACUGGGACUGAGACACGGCCCAGACUCCUACGGGGGGCAGCAAUUAGGAAUCUUGCGCAAUGGGCGAAAGCCUGACGCAGCGACGCCGCGUGAAUGAUGAAGUCCUUCGGGAUGUAAAAGUCUUUUGCAAAGGAAGAAGUAUGUGACGGUACUUUGCGAAUAAGCUCCGGCUAACUACGUGCCAGCAGCCGCGGUAAUACGUAGGGAGCGAGCGUUGUCCGAAUUUACUGGGCGUAAAGCGCACGUAGGCGGACUAUUAAGUUGGUGGUGAAAUGCCGAGGCUCAACCUCGGAACUGCCUCCAAAACUGUUAGUCUGAGGUAUGGAGAGGGAACUGGAAUUCCAGGUGUAGCGGUGAAAUGCGUAGAUAUCUGGAGGAACACCCAUGGCGAAGGCAGGUUCCUGGCCAUAUCCUGACGCUGAGGUGCGAAAGCUAGGGUAGCGAACGGGAUUAGAUACCCCGGUAGUCCUAGCCGUAAACGAUGGAUACUAGGUGUUAGUGGUAUCGACCCCACUAGUGCCGCAGCUAACGCAUUAA
rnacentral:rRNA from 1 species